UGCUUCACAAACUGUCCAGGUUAAUGGCUGCCAUAUCCAUGUCCCAGACUAAAGCACCACUUUGAUUUCGGGCACAGUCUCUGUCUGCGCUGCCCCGGCUGCUCUCCUGGACCGGCCCAGGACUCGCCGGUGUCCUCCCAGUGCAGAUGUCCCACUGCUGAUUAAAGGCCGUUAAUUAUCCAGCUGACCAGGGUCUGUCCUGACGUGUCCGCCCUGACGUGUCCGCAGAGCGUCGCACCGCAACAAUAUUCUCGCAGUUCUGUCUUUAGAGUGGCGUGGGCUGAUUUAGACUCUGUGUCAGAUGAGUUAAAAAAGUGAAGGCAGCUGUGGGCCUCGCUCGCCCAGCACCCUCGGGUUUCGAGUAGAUAACAGAUUCUCUUACCCCCGGACCCGAGACCCGUCCUGAACUCGGACCGAACCGGCUUCCCUCCUCCGGGCGCAGCCGGCUGUGGACUACACAUCCCGGCGUGCACCGCACGGCCGGUCUUCCGCCCCCCCCCGAAUUAAGCAGGACGUCGCUGUGCUCCGGCGUUGCUGACAGCAUGGCAAAGCUGUUUAAGGGUUCGUGGGCAAAUAUCCCACAAGCAACGCGACUUACUCGCCGGGGUUCACGCUUCCUGGCGGACUAGGCUGGGGCCCGGCUGUGUUGCGCCUGUGGACAGCGCGGACCGGCAGCUGCACCGGGCUCUAGCUGGGGUCCCAGAGCCGUGACAGCCCCUUCACCAAGCCCACCCUCUGGGUCAGCGGGGGGCCGGAAACGACGCGGUGUUUCAAAAGCCUUGCGGGUUGCGGCAAACGUGAGGAUCACCCUGCUCUCUCGUCUCUUCGUCCCCACGCGAAGCAGGAACUGAAAUCCACCGGACACGGGUUUCCCGUCGGGGCGAGAAGGGGGACGGACGCCUCGCUGCCAGGUGGGGGAGAUGAUGGCGAUAAACAAAGGGAGGUCUCAGCCGCAGGAGCCGUGAGCGGAGACGGGUUCGUCCAGGUAAUCUGAGCAUCUCCUUCCCUGGGGCCGCGCCGUGCGAGACCGGGAGACACACGGCUGUUACUUCUCCGGCCUUCUUCACCGUGGCCCCGGGAGAAAGAGACCCCCUUUCGACCGAAAACAAGCCGAAACGGUUCUUGAAUGAAUUCUGCCUGCCGUGAAAGUCAUUUCACUGUAAAUCUUCGUACGGGGUUACGUCUCUGAACAGGGUGCCGAGUAACUAACAUUAUUUAUGUGUUAGUUUAAUAGUUUCAUUGAGCCCGGUCUUAGCGGACCCCCUCCGCCCUGUCCGGUAAACGUCUCCGGUACAGCGGAGUCAAGUGUGCGGGGCUGCACCUCUUGCUCACACCUUUGUGAGAUGAACUACUGUUGCUUAGUUGCCUUGCGCCGCUGUGAAUCAUCAUCAUGUCAGAUUUAAACAUCGCUCCCUGCCCUUGAGAGCGAGCAGCGUCUGCAGGGAGACGGCGCACCGGCGUGUUCUCAUCCCGUCAUCCCCAGACUGACCAGGAGUCCACAGCUUUAAGAUAGAUCCCUUUAUUGGCCAGAUACGAUUUCUUGCAUUAGGAAUCUGUCUUCUCACAGACCCCAGCUUGCUCUCUAUGAGACACACACACAUUGAGAGAAGCUGGGGGUCAGAG
ensembl:lincRNA